UAGAGUUUGAUCCUGGCUCAGGACGAACGCUGGCGGCGUGCCUAAUGCAUGCAAGUCGAGCGGGCUACAGUCUUCGGACUGUAGCUUAGCGGCGAACGGGUGAGUAACACGUAGGUAAUCUACCCUUCAGAGGAGGACAACCUCAGGAAACUGAGGCUAAACCUUCAUACGUUCACUGGUAGGGAUACUGGUGAAGAAAGAGUUACCUUAAAGGUAGCUGCUGAAGGAUGAGCCUGCGGCCCAUCAGGUAGUUGGUGAGGUAACGGCUCACCAAGCCGAAGACGGGUAACCGGUCUGAGAGGAUGUCCGGUCACACUGGGACUGAGACACGGCCCAGACUCCUACGGGAGGCAGCAGCAGGGAAUCUUGGGCAAUGGGCGAAAGCCUGACCCAGCGACGCCGCGUGGGGGAAGAAGUCCUUCGGGGCGUAAACUCCUGGACUGGGGGACGAGUAAGGACGGUACCCCAGUAGAAAGGGACGGCUAACUACGUGCCAGCCGCCGCGGUAAUUCA
rnacentral:rRNA from 1 species